CCUCAUCUUAGCAAGUACUCUUUUGCUGACUACUAAUAUUUGUGUUUUUCAUUUCUUGGGCAGGACUGGAUUGGGAAGAAACCUAACAAAACAUUAUGUGUGAAAUGAUGCAGAUAAAAACUCAAAAUUUAGGGAGUCUUCAAGUUCAGGGCAUAAUUGGUUGCAACCAAACGAGAAGGGAUCUUGGCAGGAAGAAAGAGAACUACAAUAUCGGAUACGACAAAAGGUGGCCAUAAAGCGAAAGAAGGUAGAUGGAGAAACCGAUGAAGAAUGAGAACAAGAAGUCGAUGAAGGGCAGGUGGUGGGUACCUUUGACAUUGCACAGAAGUUACCCUCUAGUGUAACACAUGUUACAAACAUGUGUUACGCAUGUUCAACCCCUUUGUUACCAAAAAUCGAGGCUGCACAUAUGUAAGACAUGUUUGUAACUUAUGUUACACUAGAGGGUAACACAUGUAUGAUCAUUUUUGGAUCAUUUGUAUAUAUUUAAGUCUGUAUAAACCUACAACAUCGAAACCCUCAAAAAGGUUACACAUGUUACGACAGAAUGGGAAAUGUGUAGCAGCGUUCAAUACUGUUGUUUCACUCUAUAGUGUGUAACAUGUGUGACAUGGCGUUUGUCAGCAAAACAUAUAACUUGUAAGGUGAUACGGUUGUAUCUUUAAAACAUGUUUACCUAUAAAUACUUAC
rnacentral:lncRNA from 1 species